UAAAAAUGAACCCUAAACACAGUUGUUCAUCACUUGUAUGAUAUUGUACAAGCCCCAGGACUGUCUCAUCUGACACUAUCAAAAGAAUUCAUAUGACUAUAGCUUGCUAUUAAUUACUUGCUUUCAAUAAUGGAUGCAUUUAACAUUUAAUUAUACAGCAUCUUUACAGAGGCUGCUUUUAUUGUCUAAACAAAACCCAGUGUAAUGUAUAAGUUGUCUGUAAUUAAUAAUAUUUCCUUCUUUUCUGUCUUACAGGAUUGUUUGCAGAUAAUACUGUUCGAGCAAUAUCGAGCUCAACAGCUCUUUUAAGAGCCAACCCUCACACACCUUCCUAAAAACUAAAAGAGCUAUUACUGAGUCUCAGCAAAUCUUGCCAUGAUCAGCUCUUCCCAGAAGAGGAGCAAGUUCAAGGAAAUGAUUUGCUCAGGAUGAGGAAUGAAGACGGCCAUCUUGUGCUCAAACAAACAGAAGUCCUCUGGUAUAUGAUCUCAUCAGCCAAAUGAGGGGUUUUGACCAAGUGAUGCUCUUGAAAGGAGUGAAAGAAGAGGAUGUGGUAAAUUGUCUUCAGAGAAAAAGCUUCUCAAAAGGUCUCAAAACAGCUUGAAGAAUGGUCUGGGAUCUUAGGACUGAGAGAUCCUCUGGCUGAGAACAAGCUACACCUCAUCAGUGCUGGAUAUCAACCACAAACUGUUUCCAGACACGAGAGAAGAAGAUCACGAUGGGGAGAUGAAACCAGUUUUGAUGUGAUGAUAAGGAAUCAUUAUUUUCUGAAACAGUAUCACAUAUCUUAUAUGUAUCACAUGAUCUGUAUCACAGUUGACUGGAUGGGACUCUGUGACUUUUAAGGACAUUUCAUCACUCAUCUGUGUGAAUGUGUUUUGAUGAUAAUAAUUUUUCUUGAAUCUUAUUUGUCUUGAUGCUACUUUAUCAACUUUAUAAUCUAUGCUUCAAUAAAAUGAAAA